AUCUUCACUGCAUCGAUGCCGUGUGCCGUCAUUUUUUCCUCUCUCACUGCUCACAUUCAGUGGUUCUCCACUCCCCGCAGUGUCUCACAUUGGCUGAAUCUCUGUUCCCCGAUGUCUCUGGUCGUCGCUGCUUCUGUGCUCCCCACCAUCUCUUGCAGUCGUUGCUUCUGUUGUAGUUGCUUCUCUCCCCGUUGCAGUUGAGUGGUCUGUCGCCGUCACUCUUAAUUUGACUUCUGAUGUCUUUAGUAGCCAUGUUGUUCAAAAGAAGCGAAUUGUCCAAUAAGGUUUUUGGUUAUGUUCUGAGUCUCUGCCUUCAGAUGUAUGGUUGUGGUGUCAUCGAAAAGGAUCAAUUGAGUAAUCUAUCAUUUUUACGUUAGAGAGUAUGUUCGGGCUGAAUAUUCAUCUGAAGCCACCAAGGUAUCAAUUUGAUGAUUACGACAAACUAUUAUUUUAGAAAAAAUGUUGACGAUGAAGGUGUUACAUCUGGGAAGUGGAUUGGAAAAACUUUGGCAUUGAAGGUAAUUGAUCUAUUUAUGCUAUUUAUUCGU